CAGGAACUGCCAUAUAAGCCUCCCGACAGCCCUGAGACUGCCAUAUUGUCAGGAAGCCCAGUCUAGCCCACAUGGAGAGCCACAUGGAAGGUCCCCAAGAUGAUGUAAAGAGAGAAGGGCUCAGCCUGCCCCGAGCUGCUCCACUGCCUGCUGUUCCAGCUCCAGCUACUGCAUGAGAGACGCCAAACCAAAAUCGCCCAGCUGAGCCCUUCCAUGAUCCUCAACUCUCUAAGACCACAAGCAACAUACAAGGGUCACCGCUAGUUUUACCCACUACAUCUCGGGUGAUUUGUUAGGCAGCCGCAAAGAAAACGUGUGUGGCCCUUAAGAGCACAGGUCCCGGUCAACAGCAUUGGUCCGUUUUCCAGAAACAACUAAUCCAGGGAAUGAACUUGGAUGAUUAUUGCCUCAGUUUCCUCAUUGUGGGAAAGAUAAUAACAGCACCUGCUUCGCAGACGUCAUGGGAAGACUGACAAAGAUACAGCACAGUCAUCACUUGAUUAGACAGGACGUCACAGCAGCAUCCUGAACCCAGGAACAGAGAGCCAGUAAGAAGCGCAGGCGUUGGUGGGAGUUGGCGGAGGACCAUCUUGGGAUCAGGACGUGAGUUCCUUGACAAGGAAGAUAUUGCCACGCAUGACUGUAUCACUGAGUUUCUAGCAGAGAUUCUGGGACAUGGACACCUGAAGCAGGGUGCCCAGCAAUGUCUGCCUUUAACAGCUGGAGAGGAAUUACAUGAGGCAGCUACUAAGUUGGACUCAAAAGCAAACUUCCUGAACGUUGGAUUUCUAUCUCAGUCCUGUCAUUCCCUGUUGGUGGUCUUAGAAGAGCAGGGUCUUGGGUCUGAGGCCAGCCAGACACAUUUACUUACCAUGAACCUUAGGAGGGACCUGAGGCUCAGAGGUAUAACGAACUAACAAGACGUCCAAGUCCACCUGCCUAGUUGGCGGCGAAACUGCAGGUUAGCCCUAGGACCGAGGGUGAACAAGUGAACACAUUGAAUGUGCAUUCUGCUGUUUCUCAACACCCUGGAACAAGCACCGUCAGGUUUGAAGAGGAAGCCAGCCCAGUGCCUGCUGUGGUUAGCCAUCCAAUUUACCCACAGAUGUAAUAAGUUGGCUGAAUGCCUACACCCAGCUCGGCAAAGGGGCAGCACUCCAUAGAUGGUACAACCUCCAGGAGGAGGCUGGAAAGAAGGGCAAGAGGGAGAGCUCACGCUUACUGAGCACUUCCCAUGUGUCUGGAGCCUUGGUGUGAAGUCAUUCCUUCUUGACUGGUCCUAGACAAGGUCCAUUUGGUUCAUUCAUGGAAUUCUAACCAUAUCCCUUGAUGGUGUUCACAUCUCAUUUUGGCAGAUGUGAAAACUGAGACUCGGAGAGGUUAAGACACCUAUCCCAGGAUCACAGAAGGCCUCUGUAAGGGUUUUAGCUGGGACAUGACCCCCCCCCCAUUUCCAUGACCAUAAUUCUUAUGAUUUUUUUUUUUUUUUUUGAGACAGAGUCUUACUCUGUUGCCCAGGCUGGAGUGCAGUGGUGCAAUCUCAGUGCACUGCAGCCUCUGCCUCUGCCACAGGUUCGAGAAAUUGUCGUGCCUCAGCUUCCCAAGUAGCUGGGACUACAGGCAUGCACCACCACACUGCGCUAAUUUUUGUAUUUUUAGUCGAGACAGGGUUUCACCAUGUUGGCCAGGCUGGUCUUGAACUCCUGACCUCAGGUAACCUGCCUGCCUCAGCCUCCCAAAGUGCUGGGAUUACAGGCAUGAGCCGCUGUGCCUGGCCAAGUUCUUGUAAUUCUUGAAACAGUGUUUCAAAGACACUCAAAGUUCCCCCUUGUGCAGUUUGGGGCUUAGGACAGAGCACACAGUACCUCCACCUUUCCUCGACUCCCACACAUUCCAGGUGUCUAAGGCUGUCUCCUUCGGCAGGAAUUCACACAGCACUGUGCUGGGGCUGACUCAUAACAACUCACAAGAGCCGAUUAAGAUUUUGAGAAUUUUGUGAGCCGGGUAACAUCAUGUUGGCAUCUUGAAAUUGGCCAUAGUGAAAGUAUUUUGCACCACAGAAAUUGGCAAAUGCUACAAACCAGGGCUUUUUUUUUUUUUUCUUUUAAUUUUGCCAAGAUCCAGUUGCUAAAUAUUUCUGAGCAUGCCUCUGGACCUCAGAGAAACAGUUCUAGUUCACCAUAAAUCCACACAUUCAUACAAUAAACGCACAGAUUGAGCUCUACUUACAAAGUAAGACAGUUUGCACUCACUAAGGGGUUUGUUCAGCAGACUUUGACUCAUGGCCUACUAUGUGCAGGUUCUGUGCUAAAUGUCGGGAAUUCAGCAGUGGCAAGAUAGACAUGGUUCCUGUCCCAUGGAGCUUUCAAUCUAAGGAGGGAGUCAGAUUUAAACACCCCAAAAGACACACAACCUGCACUGUGAGUGGGAAUUAGCCGAGUCAAGUUGAUGGGAUAAAAGCAGGGAGGUUCCAGGAAGAGGGAACAGCAUGUACCAAGUGUUUGUGACAGGAGGAAACUUGGCAGGUUCCAAGAACUGGCCAAGAGCAGCACAGCUGGAGAGAAAGGAAUAAAGGGGGAAAUGGGA